CGCUGGAGCGUCAGACCUAUACCGGACCGUCUCGGCAACGAGAAUCGCUCGGUCAAACGAGCGAGAGCCACGCUGAGACGAGUAGGAGGGCCGCUGCGGUGAGCGCCGAAGCCUGGGACGCGAGUCUGGGUGGAGCCGCCGCAGGCGCAGAUCUUGGUGGUAGUAGCAAAUAUUCA
rnacentral:rRNA from 1 species